rnacentral:rRNA from 1 species
UACGGAGGGUGCAAGCGUUGCUCGGAAUCACUGGGCGUAAAGCGACCGCAGGCGGUCUGACAAGUCGGAUGUGAAAGCCCUGGGCUCAACUCAGGAAUUGCAUUCGAAACUGGCAGACUCGAGUACGGGAGAGGGGGGUGGAAGUUCCUGGUGUAGGGGUGGAAAUUCGUUGAUAUCAGGAGGAACACCGGCGGCGAAGG